CCUGACCCCGCCACAGCAGCUGUGCUCGCUCCUCAAGCACUGAGAGUUCCCCAUGAGGGGUUAACGUUGGAGGAGUUGCCCUGCUCAAGACCUAUUUAGGAUGAUAUGAAAGCCCUCGUCUAAGGGGCAGUCAAGUCAUUGGGGUCAGGACUUGCUAUCAAAAUAAAUUUCUCUCUCGCUCGCUCAAACGUGACCCAUUUUGACUGCCAACACAACAACUGAAAGCAAAACAAGCAUUUUGGAAGUUCUGAUAAACAUGAUAAUUUCUUCUCAGACCAAGUACGACCGCAAUGUGGCUGAUAACAGGGUAAAGCGCUG